rnacentral:rRNA from 1 species
AGAGUUUGAUCAUGGCUCAGAUUGAACGCUGGCGGCAUGCUUAAUACAUGCAAGUCGAACGGCAGCACGGAGAGCUUGCUCUCUGGUGGCGAGUGGCGGACGGGUGAGUAAUACAUAGGAAUCGGCCUGGUAGUGGGGGACAACUCGGGGAAACUCGAGCUAAUACCGCAUACGACCUACGGGUGAAAGCGGGGGACCUUCGGGCCUCGUGCUAUCGGAUGAGCCUAUGUCAGAUUAGCUAGUUGGUGGGGUAAAAGCUUACCAAGGCGACGAUCUGUAGCCGGCCUGAGAGGGUGGACGGCCACACUGGGACUGAGACACGGCCCAGACUCCUACGGGAGGCAGCAGUAGGGAAUAUUGGACAAUGGGGGCAACCCUGAUCCAGCAAUGCCGCGUGUGUGAAGAAGGCCUGCGGGUUGUAAAGCACUUUCAGCAGGGACGAAAAGCGCAUGGUUAAUAACUGUGUGUCUUGACUUAACCUGAAGAAGAAGCACCGGCUAACUCUGUGCCAGCAGCCGCGGUAAUACAGAGGGUGCGAGCGUUAAUCGGAAUUACUGGGCGUAAAGCGUGCGUAGGCGGCUAUUUAAGUCGGAUGUGAAAUCCCCGGGCUCAACCUGGGAAUUGCAUUCGAUACUGGAUAGCUAGAGUACAGUAGAGGAUAGUGGAAUUCCGGGUGUAGCGGUGAAAUGCGUAGAUAUCCGGAGGAACAUCGGUGGCGAAGGCGACUGUCUGGACUGAUACUGACGCUGAGGUACGAAAGCGUGGGGAGCAAACAGGAUUAGAUACCCUGGUAGUCCACGCCCUAAACGAUGUCAACUAGCUGUUGGAGGAAAUCAGUCCUUUAGUAGCGUAGCUAACGCGCUAAGUUGACCGCCUGGGGAGUACGGCCGCAAGGUUAAAACUCAAAUGAAUUGACGGGGGCCCGCACAAGCGGUGGAGCAUGUGGUUUAAUUCGAUGCAACGCGAAGAACCUUACCUGGCCUUGACAUGCCGAGAACUUUCCAGAAAUGGAUUGGUGCCUUCGGGAACUCGGACACAGGUGCUGCAUGGCUGUCGUCAGCUCGUGUCGUGAGAUGUUGGGUUAAGUCCCGCAACGAGCGCAACCCUUGUCCUUAGUUGCCAGCACGUAAAGGUGGGAACUCUAAGGAGACUGCCGGUGACAAACCGGAGGAAGGCGGGGAUGACGUCAAGUCAUCAUGGCCCUUACGGCCAGGGCUACACACGUGCUACAAUGGGCAGUACAGAGGGUUGCGAAGCAGCGAUGUGAAGCUAAUCCCAGAAAGCUGUCCGUAGUCCGGAUUGGAGUCUGCAACUCGACUCCAUGAAGUCGGAAUCGCUAGUAAUCACAGGUCAGCAUACUGCGGUGAAUACGUUCCCGGGCCUUGUACACACCGCCCGUCACACCAUGGGAGUGGAUUGCAAAAGAAGUGGGUAGCUUAACCUUCGGGAGGGCGCUCACCACUUUGUGAUUCAUGACUGGGGUGAAGUCGAAACAAGGUA